AUGAACGCUGGCGGCGUGCCUAAUACAUGCCAGUCGAGCGAACGGACGAGAAGCUUGCUUCUCUGAUGUUAGCGGCGGACGGGUGGGUAACACGUGGAUAACCUACCUAUAAGACUGGGAUAACUUCGGGAAACCGGAGCUAAUACCGGAUGAUAUUUUGAACCGCACGGUUCAAAAGUGAAAGACGGUCUUGCUGUCACUUAUAGAUGGAUCCGCGCUGCAUUAGCUAGUUGGUAAGGUAACGGCUUACCAAGGCAACGAUGCAUAGCCGACCUGAGAGGGUGAUCGGCCACACUGGAACUGAGACACGGUCCAGACUCCUACGGGAGGCAGCAGUAGGGAAUCUUCCGCAAUGGGCGAAAGCCUGACGGAGCAACGCCGCGUGAGUGAUGAAGGUCUUCGGAUCGUAAAACUCUGUUAUUAGGGAAGAACAUAUGUGUAAGUAACUGUGCACAUCUUGACGGUACCUAAUCAGAAAGCCACGGCUAACUACGUG
rnacentral:rRNA from 1 species